rnacentral:rRNA from 1 species
UCAAGUAAUUAAGUGCAUGUGGUGGAUGCCUUGGCAGUCAGAGGCGAUGAAAGACGUGAUAGCCUGCGAAAAGCUCCGGGGAGGCGGCAAAUAUCCUUUGAUCCGGAGAUGUCUGAAUGGGGGAACCCACCUACUUUAAGGUAGGUAUUGCAACAUGAAUACAUAGUGUUGCAAGGCGAACGAGGGGAAGUGAAACAUCUCAGUACCCUUAGGAAAAGAAAUCAAUUGAGAUUCCCUCAGUAGCGGCGAGCGAACGGGGAUCAGCCCAUUAAGUUAUGUGUGUUUUAGUGGAACGCUCUGGGAAGUGCGAACGUAGAGGGUGAUAUUCCCGUACACGAAAGGGCACACAUAAUGAUGACGAGUAGGGCGAGGCACGUGAAACCUUGUCUGAAUAUGGGGGGACCAUCCUCCAAGGCUAAAUACUCCUGACUGACCGAUAGUGAACCAGUACCGUGAGGGAAAGGCGAAAAGAACCCCUGUGAGGGGAGUGAAAUAGAUCCUGAAACCGCAUGCAUACAAGCAGUGGGAGCACCUUCGUGGUGUGACUGCGUACCUUUUGUAUAAUGGGUCAGCGACUUAUAUUCAGUAGCAAGGUUAACCGUAUAGGGGAGCCGUAGAGAAAUCGAGUCUUAAUAGGGCGUUUAGUUGCUGGGUAUAGACCCGAAACCAGGCGAUCUAUCCAUGAGCAGGUUGAAGGUUGGGUAACACUAACUGGAGGACCGAACCCACUGUCGUUGAAAAGCCAGGGGAUGACUUGUGGAUAGGGGUGAAAGGCUAAUCAAGCCUGGUGAUAGCUGGUUCUCCCCGAAAGCUAUUUAGGUAGCGCCUCGGACGAAUACCAUAGGGGGUAGAGCACUGUUUCGGCUAGGGGGUCAUCCCGACUUACCAAACCGAUGCAAACUCCGAAUACCUAUGAGUACUAUCCGGGAGACAGACUGCGGGUGCUAACGUCCGUAGUCAAGAGGAAAACAAUCCAGACCGCCAGCUAAGGCCCCAAAAUCAUAGUUAAGUGGGAAACGAUGUGGGAAGGCAUAGACAGCUAGGAGGUUGGCUUAGAAGCAGCCACCCUUUAAAGAAAGCGUAAUAGCUCACUAGUCGAGUCGGCCUGCGCGGAAGAUGUAACGGGGCUAAAACUAUGUGCCGAAGCUGCGGAUNNGCUGGAGGUAUCAGAAGUGCGAAUGCUGACGUGAGUAACGACAAAACGGGUGAAAAACCCGUUCGCCGAAAGACCAAGGGUUCCAGUCCAACGUUAAUCGGGGCUGGGUGAGUCGACCCCUAAGGCGAGGCCGAAAGGCGUAGUCGAUGGGAAAAUGGUUAAUAUUCCAUUACUUCUGUGUAAUGCGAUGAGAGGACGGAGAAGGCUAAAUCAGCCUGGCGUUGGUUGUCCAGGUGAAAGGAUGUAGGCAUGUAUCUUAGGCAAAUCCGGGGUACUCUAUGCUGAGAUCUGAUAGCAAGCUGUACUUGUACAGCGAAGUGGUUGAUGCCAUGCUUCCAGGAAAAGUCUCUAAGCUUCAGUUACACAGGAAUCGUACCCGAAACCGACACAGGUGGUCAGGUCGAGUAGACCAAGGCGCUUGAGAGAACUCUGCUGAAGGAACUAGGCAAAAUGGUACCGUAACUUCGGGAGAAGGUACGCUGUUGUUGGUGAUGGAACUCGCUUCCUGAGCUGACGACAGCCGCAGAAACCAGGCCGCUGCAACUGUUUAUUAAAAACAUAGCACUCUGCAAACACGAAAGUGGACGUAUAGGGUGUGAUGCCUGCCCGGUGCUGGAAGGUUAAUUGAUGGGGUUAGCGUAAGCGAAGCUCUUGAUCGAAGCCCCAGUAAACGGCGGCCGUAACUAUAACGGUCCUAAGGUAGCGAAAUUCCUUGUCGGGUAAGUUCCGACCUGCACGAAUGGCAUAAUGAUGGCGGCGCUGUCUCCAGCAGAGGCUCAGUGAAAUCGAAAUCGCUGUGAAGAUGCAGUGUACCCGCGGCUAGACGGAAAGACCCCGUGAACCUUUACUGCAGCUUGACACUGAACUUUGACCUUACUUGUGUAGGAUAGGUGGGAGGCUUUGAAGCUGGAACGCUAGUUCCAGUGGAGCCGUCCUUGAAAUACCACCCUGGUAAUGUUGAGGUUCUAACUCUGUCCCGUGAUCCGGGACGAGGACCGUGUCUGGUGGGUAGUUUGACUGGGGCGGUCUCCUCCUAAAGAGUAACGGAGGAGUACGAAGGUGCGCUCAGCGUGGUCGGAAAUCACGCGUAGAGUAUAAAGGCAAAAGCGCGCUUAACUGCGAGACCCACAAGUCGAGCAGGUACGAAAGUAGGUCUUAGUGAUCCGGUGGUUCUGUAUGGAAGGGCCAUCGCUCAACGGAUAAAAGGUACUCUGGGGAUAACAGGCUGAUACCGCCCAAGAGUUCAUAUCGACGGCGGUGUUUGGCACCUCGAUGUCGGCUCAUCUCAUCCUGGGGCUGAAGCAGGUCCCAAGGGUAUGGCUGUUCGCCAUUUAAAGAGGUACGCGAGCUGGGUUUAGAACGUCGUGAGACAGUUCGGUCCCUAUCUACCGUGGGCGCUGGAAAUUUGAGAGGAUCUGCUCCUAGUACGAGAGGACCAGAGUGGACGAACCUCUGGUGUACCGGUUGUGACGCCAGUCGCAUCGCCGGGUAGCUAUGUUCGGAAGGGAUAACCGCUGAAAGCAUCUAAGCGGGAAGCCUACCUCAAGAUAAGAUUUCCCUAGGACUUUAUGUCCUCUAAAGAGCCGUUCGAGACUAGGACGUUGAUAGGUUGGAUGUGGAAGCAUAGUGAUAUGUGAAGCUGACCAAUACUAAUUGCUCGUGAGGCUUGACUAU